UACGUAGGGUGCGAGCGUUAAUCGGAAUUACUGGGCGUAAAGUGUGCGCAGGCGGCGUCGCAAGUCGAGUGUGAAAGCCCCGGGCUUAACUCGGGAAUUGCGCUCGAAACUACGGUGCUGGAGUAUGGCAGAGGAAGGUGGAAUUCCACGUGUAGCGGUGAAAUGCGUAGAGAUGUGGAGGAACACCGAUGGCGAAGGCAGCCUUCUGGGCCAAUACUGACGCUCAUGCACGAAAGCGUGGGGAGCAAACAGG
rnacentral:rRNA from 1 species